rnacentral:lncRNA from 1 species
GGCACACUUGGCAUUGUCCUAAUUUUCAGUCGAACUGUCAAAUUUUAUUUGACAAUAAGCUGCGGACAUAGCCUAAGAUGUACCAGUUGCUUUCAGAUCCGUAGUUUUUACUUAGUGGAAUUAUUUGGAAAACCAUGCUUCUUUUAUUUUUCCUUUGAACACAGACCUAAUUUUUAAUGUGCUCACUUUCUCUUUGGCCACAUUUCUAUUCCAGGAGCAUGUGGUUGAUCAUGCUUUAUAGAAGUCAAUACAAAAGAAUUCUAACUGGAAUCUUGGCAGCAGAGGCGAGCAGUGUGAUGAUGUGCUUGCCUAAAGAGAUCUUGGCUUAGCAUAUUCUGUUUCUCUCUGUGUCUCUCCCUCCACAAUGAAAUAGUUUUUGUUUUUUAAAGAGACAUUAGUUUUUAAAUUACAAGGAACUUCUACACUUUGUGAGUUGAGGGAAAGCUCUUCUCACAAUUUUUAAGUUUGCCAUUUAAGUUGUUAGGUCUCAAUUUUGGCUACUGUUGAUGUCUGAUUCAUUAAAUCCUGGUGAGUUUCUUCCCAUGCUUCAAUAAUUUAGGUAGUAGAUUAUAGGUAUAUAAACAUACUUUUGUUUUUAAGCAUCAUACAAAAAUAUAGUAGGAAAAAACUACAAAACCUUACAUUCAUCAUAUCAGCAUUCUAUCAUCAAAUAAUAAAAUAUAAGGGACAUAAUCUGUCUGUUUUAAAAUAAUCUUUUUAUAAGAUUCUCUUUUGGUUACUGAAGAGUUUGAAAGGAAUGUUUCCCAUUUGAAGUUAAAAGCACUGAUGAUAUGUAAAUUAUGUAUAGCUUUUAUAAAAAAACAAUCAAAAUCAAAGAUCUUUAGAAAUCAAAAUGAGAUUCUAGACAAAGAUAAGGUUGAUCAUGUUCUUAUUUUUUUAUUUUUGCCAAGGUUAAAUGAUCUGAGAGUAUUUGCUGUGUCAUUGUUUACCUCUUAGUUAUACAUUCCCUCUCCCGUCAUUAAAUGUCCAUGUCCAACCCCCAAUAAUUGUCUGAAUUUUCGGAAAUGUAGAAAUGAAACUAGACUUAAAGGAUUUAAAUUUUCUCACCUUCAAUUCUUAAUUUCAGUUCCAGUGAAUGAGUCUUGAGAAUUUACAAGUGUGAAACUUUUGUAUUUUUAAAAUUCUGCCUCAUCUUACAUUUCAUGUAAAAUUUUUAUACUGCCAUAGUUUUCUCUUUGAACAACUCUUAACCCAAAAGUAAGAGAACUAGAGAAAGAGCAUCAUGGUAAUUAAAGAGGGGAAAUGGCAGCUUCAAAGCUUGUACAUUUUCUAUAUGUGUUGAAUGUAUUUAUUAAACAAGAAAUUUUUAUAUAAAUCCAUAUUUAAAGUAUUUAUGCUGUGAUAUUGUCUUGUUAAUAUAAAGUUACAAAAUGAACAUAUGCUCAUAAUACUUAAUGUUUUUUUAAAGUUGAUUUUAAUCUUUUAUUCGUUGAGUUUGAGGGUAUGAUUUUCUCUAUAUCAAAACCAUUGUGUAUUAAAGAGAAUUUUCUGAACAGUUGAAUUCUAAUGUGGAAGUACCAUGAACUAUUUUUGGUGGUGCAUCUUCCUAGAAGUAUUCUUACAAGUACUAUUCAUAUAAAACUACUGGAAGUUUGAGAAUGGAAACAACAAUACUUUUAUUUUUAUUUACGGUAUAAAAAUAGGAAUUAUAAAAAACAAAUAUGAAAAUGCUAGUUGUAGAUUUUACAUGGCAGCUUUAAUUGCUGAUUCGAAACUUUGCUAAUUUGUCUCUGCAUAUCAAGAUUGUAUAAUUUUCAAAAUGGCCUUGUCCCCAAAUAAAUCGGAGAACACAAAGCAAACAUGGGCAAUUAGGAAAAUAAAUCUUUUGAACUAUGAUUGUUAAGUAGGUGUAUCAUAAUAUGAUCAUUUCAUUUCUAUAAUUUGAAAAUUAAGCAUCGAUGAUUUCUAAAGGGAAUUUUCAAUAUAAUAAGCUGUUACAAAGUAAUUUAAAGAAGCAAAUAAUUUCAAAUAUGAUAUUAUGAAUAAGGUAGAGCAAUGAAUUUGGGGCCAAAGGACUUGAGAUCCUGGCUAUUAUUUGCUCCCAUGUGAUUAUAAGGGAGCCUCAGGUUUAAGAGAUUGGAUGAUCUGUAAGGCUCCUGCAGCUUUCCUCUUUCUAUGAUCUAAUAAUGUUUAUAAGACUUAAAAUUUCAGGAGAAACAAGACUAACCUCAUAUCAUGAGGAGGUGUAAUAUCAAGAUUUAUUGUCUAUUUGCAUGAGGGUCAUUCAGGAUCCAGACACUCCUAAUCUUUAUCACUAGCCAGUUGGCAUCAACCCGUCAAACAAUUUCUGUAAAAUAUUUGAUUCAUUUGUUCAUAUUAUUGGAUUUAGAAUGCUAAUGAGUAGAGUCGUUGGAAUUACUAACCAACCUUGACUUUGUGACUGGUCAUUUUAACCAUUGGCUUUACAAAGCCCUUCCUCUAGCAGUUGGCUCAGGCCUGCUUAGACUUCUUGUCUGGGACUCUUUCCAUCACUGCCCCAUGUCCUUUGUUCAAUUGUAUUUAGUCAUUACACUUUUAUCUUUCCCUCUCCUCAUUUUACCAGAUUAGAACCUACUUAAAUCUUCCUACUUUCAACUUAAACUCUUUCCAGUCAACUUUUUAAAAUUUCAGAAAUUUUCCAGAAAACUUAUUUCCUAAUGAUUCGUUAUCCUUUUUGUUCUGAAAUUUUUAAAAGCUCUUUCCUCCUUCCAUUUUCUGAACCUCAUUCACCCUGUACCCUAUACCAUGCCAAAGACACUCGACUUGUAUAUUAUUAUGUAAAUGCAUACAGUAUUACAAACGUGUUUAUAUAAAUAUAUAAUGUCUGUACAGUUUUGCCCUACCAUGUUUGGAUAUGUCAAAUGUGUUCCAUUUUAGUUUGUGAGUAGUGAGCUAAUUUGUUAAAUAUACAAAAGAAUACGAUACAAGUCUUAAUAAAUACUUUUAAAUGAUAAAAUGCAGUGAUUAAAUUACUUCUGAUUAAAAAUCAAAGCUCUUUUGACAUACAGUUGGUAUCUUUAUGCAUAUAAUUCCCAAAUCUUUAUAUUGCUUGGUUUUCAUGCCUGACUCUUCUUUCACACUCUCUGUUGCUGGAUCUUCAACUAGGUUACAUCUGUUAAUUAAAGUAUCCCUCCAAGGCUCUCUUCUUACUAUUUUACUUGGCAACCUCACUAGCACUGGGAUUUAUUAUCGUCUUUAUGCAGAUCAUUUUCAGUCGUGUGUACCCCAUCCUAAUCUCUC